CGAUCUGCUGCGGGCAGAUGAAGUGGAUGUGCGCGUCCACGCCGCCGGCGGUGAGAAUCUGCCCUUCACCGGCGAUGAUUUCCGUGCCCGGCCCGAUAAGGAUAUCGACGCCGUCCUGCACGUCGGGAUUGCCGGCCUUGCCGAUACCCGCAAUGCGUCCGCCCUUGAGCGCCACGUCCGCCUUGACAAUGCCCCAGUGAUCCAGGAUCAGGGCAUUGGUGAUGACGGUGUCGGCGCAAUCGGCGCUCACCGCCUGUCCCUGGCCCAUGCCGUCGCG
rnacentral:sRNA from 1 species